rnacentral:rRNA from 1 species
UACGUAGGGUGCAAGCGUUAAUCGGAAUUACUGGGCGUAAAGCGUGCGCAGGCGGUUCUAUAAGACAGAUGUGAAAUCCCCGGGCUCAACCUGGGAACUGCAUUUGUGACUGCACAGCUGGAGUGCGGCAGAGGGGGAUGGAAUUCCGCGUGUAGCAGUGAAAUGCGUAGAUAUGCGGAGGAACACCGAUGGCGAAGGCAAUCCCCUGGGCCUGCACUGACGCUCAUGCACGAAAGCGUGGGGAGCAAACAGG